rnacentral:snoRNA from 1 species
CAGCUUGAAGUGAUGAUUCACAUUCAUGUCUCUUCUCUGAUAAAUAUCUUGAAGAAAAUUCUAUGUAUCUGAUCAGGCUU